rnacentral:misc_RNA from 1 species
AAGUCGUAACAAGGUUUCCGUAGGUGAACCUGCGGAAGGAUCAUCAAUGAUUCUUUCGAAAGAAACAUGUUCAGGCGAGUUCAUUGCCAAAAGCAUUUUCUUUUUCGUAUCAAAAAACGCAGACCAAGUGGAUUUUUUUGGGAGACACUGGUCCAGGCGAGAAAGACAAAGGAUUUUGUCAAAAAAAUAUAUAUACACACACGCUCAACUACACAAAAAAACAACUUUCGGCAACGGAUCUCUCGGCUCACC